GCGUUAGUGGUCCAAGGGUAGGAUCCAACCCCCCCAAGGUUGGGGACCGGGUUCGAGUCCCGGCUAACGCA